ensembl:snoRNA
CCUGCUCCUAGAAGACUCUCCCUAUGGCUGCUGUAUCACACAUGCGACAGUAGGUGGCAGAGAGGAAAGGGUCUGUCUACACUCAGUAUUCUGACCUGUGACCAUCUCAAUGAUUGGCAGCUUAACACU